CCAUGAAAGUGGUCUGUAAUUUGAAAGAUUGUUGUAUAAUUUUGGGGUAAGAAGAGAUAAUAUUAAAGACAUACCGAUAAACAAACAUAUAUGAAAGAUGUGGAGUAUAUGUAAUAUGUUUCGGGGGAUAGAUAUUUUUUGUUUCGUUUGGGUUGCCAUUUAUUUUACAGCUAUUUUAUAAAAGUAAUCGAUUUUUAAUGAGGGAGUUGUUUCAUCAAAUACUAUCGACUGUAUUUUAGGGGUUACAUUUAAGAUUAUCAAAACUUCGACUUAAAUUCAAACGUCUAAUAUAAAAUUUUAUGUGAAGUUGUUUAAUGGUCCGAUUAAUAGCGCAAGACGGUAAGAGCUUUGUAACUGUACAAAAUAGUGAUAAAAAUGGUGGUAUGGUUGAAUAUGGUAAAAAU